AUGAAUUGGGUCAAACCACCCACUCAGCUUAUUGGCUUUGAUUUGGAAAUUGAGACAAGAAUCCAGGAUCGAGAGUCAAAGAAGAAAUCAGACAAUGAACACUGAAUUUCAUUCCAGACCUUGCCCUACUAAGAUCUUGGAAGAUGUUGUGGGUGUUCCUGAAAAAAAGGUACUUCCAAUCACUGUCCCCAAGUCACCAGCCUUUGCAUUGAAGAACAGAAUCCAAAUACCCACCAAAGGAGAUGAGGAAGAGGUUGAACUGGUAGUGAUAAGAGCUCAAUCUGUGCCACAUUAUGGGGUACCUUUUAAGCCCCAAAUAGUAGAGGCAAGAACUGUGGAGAUGUGCCCUUUCUCCUUUGAUUCUCUAGACAAAGAAUGUCAGUUACACAAGGAGAAGAAAAUGAAAGAACUGCAGAAAGGGGAGGUGCCCAAGUUCAAGGCACUUCUCUUGCCUCAUUUUGAUACCAUUAACCUGCCAGAGAAGAAGGUAAAGAAUGUGACCCAGAGUGAGACUUUCUGCUUGGAGACUGACAAAAGAGGUGCUCUGAAGGCGCAGAUUUGGAAGCACCAGGUGAAGGAAGAACUGAAACAGCAGAAAGAAGCAGCUUGCUUCAAGGCUUGUCCAAACACCGUCAUCUCCCAGGAACCCUUUGUUCCCAAGAAAGAAAAAAUCAGUUACCGAGGGCCUUUCUGGUUCUCUAGUUCAGGAACCUUUUCAGCUGGCUACUGAGAAAAGAGCCAAGGAGUGGCAGGAGCUGGAGAAGAGAAUGGCUGACGUUGAAGCCCAGAAAUCUCAGCAGUUGGAGGAGGCCAGGCAGCAGGAGGAAGAGCAGAAGAAAGAGGAGCUAGCUAGGCUAUGGAAAGAACUUGUGCACAAGGCAAAUCCAAUACGAAAGUACCAGGGUGUGGAGGUAAAGUUAAGUGACCAGCCUCUGAUUGUGCCUGUAUCUCCCAAGUUCUCCACUCAAUUCCACUGCUAAACUCAGCUGUGAGAUGCGUACAGCACCUGAUAACAGGACUUGCUCUUACAUCAAACCAGGAGCCAUCUUUGUCACUGGGCAUGGAGAGAACCCAUUUCUCCAGACUUUCACCUACCCAUGCCCAAGAGAGCAUACUUGACAACCAUGGACUCCAAUGUUAUUGCGAAUUAUUUUCUUACAUUAUUGAGGCUAAUCAUGAGACUCAACUCAUGUAUGUCUCGAUUAGCCUCCACGUAGUUAUUUCCUUUUAAGCUAUCAGUUGGCAUUUAAUAUGGGUCUUAACUCUGACUAGAAUUUAAAGUCUCAAUGUCAACACAGUGUAAUCUCUGUUUCCCCUUAUCCUCCCUCCCUUUUGUAAAAUUUUAACUAGAAAAUAAAGAUAGUUA